rnacentral:misc_RNA from 1 species
GGAAGCUACAUAGGAGGGGUUCUUAGCUGCAAACAAUGUACAUUGUUGGAGUAUCAUUUGUAGGAAGCAGUUACACAUGGGUAGUGUACAAGAAAAUUAAAGUGCAUAUAAGUGUUGGCAAAUGAGUCAAAAAAUGACUCAAGCCAUUUUAGUGAUGGAGAGCCUAGUUACAAGGCCUGUUUAACAUGGAGACCUGCCUAUUUAUUAAUCCACACUCCUUGGCACUCGAUUUCAACAUGGUAUCAAAAUUGUAAGGCCUAAUGGCUGUAGAUUUGGGAUCCAUAGCAUGGUGGCUAAGCCCCAAUGAACCAGACUAGUGAGUUGGGUAAAUCAAGUAAGACUUAGGUGGAUCCAUGGGCUAGCCCAGCAAGCUAGACCUUGAGGGCAUGUUGAGAGGAGCCAGAUCCAAGUUAGAUGGGCCAUCCCAUGCAAUGCGAAGUGACAAUUGGGCUUGUGAAGUAUCAGCCCAACCCAGUUGCAUGUUAUGACUAAUAAGGGGAACAAGGGGCUGUGAUUUUAUGUGAAAGUAAUAGAAUAGUUAG